CGGGUGAGUAAUGUCUGGGAAACUGCCUGAUGGAGGGGGAUAACUGCUGGAAACGGUAGCUAAUACCGCAUAACGUCGCAAGACCAAAGAGGGGACCUUCGGGCCUCUUGCCAUCGGAUGUGCCCAGAUGGGAUUAGCUAGUAGGUGGGGUAACGGCUCACCUAGGCGACGAUCCCUAGCUGGUCUGAGAGGAUGACCAGCCACACUGGAACUGAGACACGGUCCAG
rnacentral:rRNA from 1 species